GCAGGAAGAAAGGAAAGAAGGAAGUCUGCCCGCCCUGAAGAGCCCAGCAGAAUCCAGAGAAAUUCAAACCAAUGGGUGUCAUCACAGGACAUUACUGUCACCUGGCUAAAAGUCUAUCUGGGGCACAGAAGGGUCCCGGAAAAAGCCCCCUCGGAAGUCUCCGGAGCAGAAAGGCAGCCUAGUGUUCCGGAUCUCUUUCCUCUCAGUUGUGCAAGAGGAGAAGGGAAAGGAAGAGAAUUCUGUGCCAUCAAUUAUUCUAAAGCCCAAACUGAAAGAUCUAAACAGAGGCUGCCUUCAUGAAAAGCAACCGGGAGAGAGAAUAAUGACAUUCAGCUUCUACAAUCAACAGUGAAGUCAAUUUACAUCAUUGGAGACGUUAAAGUCACCUUCACCAACAUAAACCUUCAAAGAAACCAGAGGGCAUGCAGACACACGUUUGCACGGGACACAAAUCCACAUACAAACACACCCGACUAACAGACAUCUGUCACAGGUGUUAUAGAGCACUCAAGAAAUCAGAGGAAUGACAACUUACAGCCAGGUUUGCCGUCCUGUGGGAAAGACUUUCAGUGGCCCUAAGUCACAUCACGACUUGAAGCCUCAGUGAACAAACUAUCCUAAAACGGCAGAGCCAUAGUGAACUUUGCUCAAGACACUCCAAAUAGUAAAUCAGUAUCCCUGAGUCCAGACCUCCGGCUGGUAAUAAAGAAUGUCAACGGAAGCCAAAUCUCUGAGAUC